UUACACUGUUUGUGUUCUGGACAAAGAAGGAUGGCGUUUUGGCUUUGUUUCAAGUAGUAACUAACUGAAAGCGUAAUAGAUGUCUAUGUGAAGUGAGAUGAUUGCCUUUCGGAAACACUGUGUAAUUUUGGACAAAAGGUAUGAAGUUGAAAAGUCAAAAGUUAGUGUAUACCAAGACCAGAAAUGAAGCUAAGAUAGAGACAGACAUAGUACAGGUCAUGUAACAGAUGGUUAGUCACAGGGUUGGUAAUCCUUAUGCUGGACAUGAGUAUCAAGAUCUGCACUGUUUGCCACAUAGUCAGUAUAUUUUUGGCGUGGACAGAAUGUUGUUGUGGUGACUUUGUUCAAGUUACAUAUUCUGACAAAGAUGGUAAAGCAGUGGCAGACAGAGUUGUGUGACAUUGUGUAUGUUUCGUUUGUUAGAGCCCAUGCACAGACAGAAGAAAAGCCAAGUUGCCACUCUUGCAGCCAGUUGAACACAAGAAUCCACUUCAUGUGCAGAAUCUACAAAUUCCACAUCAUCCAAGAGUAGACAACAUUCCAUGUAUUCCAGUUAAGCAUGUGGAAGUCUUGAAUAGAACACCAAAGACUAGAGUAACAUAAUCCAAUAUGGCACCAGGAAAGAGCCAAGAGGAUAACUGCAUCACUUCUUGGACAGUUUAUAAUAAGACAGGCUCCUAUAACAAAGAAAUUUGUCAAUAGUGUUCUUAUGCCCAAACUAUUUACAAGUGCCAAAAUAAGUUAUUGAAAAUUACAAUGAAAAGGUGGCAUGCAAUAUGUAUAGAAAAAAGACAAACAAUAGUAUCAAUGUGCAUGGU
rnacentral:lncRNA from 1 species